rnacentral:rRNA from 1 species
UACGUAGGGUGCAAGCGUUAAUCGGAAUUACUGGGCGUAAAGCGUGCGCAGGCGGUUUUGUAAGUCUGUCGUGAAAAUCCCCGGGCUCAACCUGGGAAUUGCGAUGGAGACUGCAAGGCUAGAAUCUGGCAGAGGGGGGGUAGAAUUCCACGUGUAGCAGUGAAAAUGCGUAGAGAUGUGGAGGAACACCGAUGGCGAAGGCAGCCCCCUGGGUCAAGACUGACGCUCAUGCACGAAAGCGUGGGGAGCAAACGAGGAU